rnacentral:circRNA from 1 species
UUUCGUUGGAUACCACUAGCUGGGAAUAUCCAGAUGUCUGCAGACAUUAUUUCGGCUCCUUUGGGCAGUGGUCGAGUCUCCUUUUCUCCUUGGUGUCUCUCAUUGGAGCAAUGAUAGUUUAUUGGGUGCUUAUGUCAAAUUUUCUUUUUAAUACUGGAAAGUUUAUUUUUAAUUUUAUUCAUCACAUUAAUGACACAGACACUAUACUGAGUACCAAUAAUAGCAACCCUGUGAUUUGUCCAAGUGCCGGGAGUGGAGGCCAUCCUGACAACAGCUCUAUGAUUUUCUAUGCCAAUGACACAGGAGCCCAACAGUUUGAAAAGUGGUGGGAUAAGUCCAGGACAGUCCCCUUUUAUCUUGUAGGGCUCCUCCUCCCACUGCUCAAUUUCAAGUCUCCUUCAUUUUUUUCAAAAUUUAAUAUCCUAG